UAAUAUAUGAAAGUUUUAACAACGUGAGGACUUAGACGAGGGGAAAAAAUAGGUUGGGACACGUGAGUGGUACUGUAGAAAGGCAAAAUUGGAAAGGCAUUUGGGGGUAACGAAGCUGAUGUUCUACCUCCAGGCAAUUAUUCCGUCUACGUAUACAUUGCCUCUGAUUUCUUGAAAGGUCAUUACUUACCGAUUCAGUGGUACUGGCUCAGCAGCGCCACUAGGUCGCGUGGUAAAGGAGAUUCUGUUGUUAUCGGUCGGUGACACGAAAUUUUCUCUUAUCAACUAUUGAUUGCGGAACUGUUUCUGGAUGAGACUGAGCCGCUUGAUGGUGCCACAUGGAAAUAACGACCGGUGAGGUGACGUCAUAGAAAUUUGAUUUGUGAAUGGAAGCGUUGUAAUUUUCCAAUGUUGACGGUGAAAUAUCUGAUGUGAUUUGUAAAUGAUGUGGAGAUGGUCGAAAAUGGACACAUACAACAUUUUUUGGAAAUCCCUUUGUGUGGUUCCCCCGACGAGAAGUGAUUUAUUGGUUUUGUGGGCAGGUAACUUACCAUACGCAUACGCAAUACUUCAAUACGUGGUACAAUUGGUUAAAUCAUUCGGCCGGGCGACGAAGCCCGUGAGACGCGGGUUCGAGCCCGGCUUGAGGCAGUGGAAUUUUUAAUCUUUCGGAAACCGUCGAACGGAAGUCGACCGAAACGAGUUUUAUCGCCGCUAGUGACAUAAAUCGGGCAUUACAGGCCACUAUAGAUAAUGGAAAGACUUCCUUUUCGAUAACAUAAUUCACUUUUCGGUGACACCAACUGACGUGUCAAUGAUGUUAUAGGGUUAAGUGCAGCUCAUGGACGUGGGCGCCAUUACAGGCAGACAAUCACAAUAUGGAAACCUCGUGUUUGAGUUCGACAGAUAAACAUAUACUUAUAAUACUUUUUUGUCACUGCUGCUACAUUCAGUGUUGAAUUUUGAUGUUUUUCCCCGAAGACAAAAUUCACUCGUUCCAGAGUUUUUAUAUUUAAGAUUAGAGAAGAUGUUUUACAAGUUAAUUGUCGUUGGAGCCUUUCCCUUGAGACUUUUAUUACUGAACUUUUCCAAAGGGAUUUCUUCAAAACCAUGUGGUGACCAGACAUGGUCAAGGUGGAAUUUCUCAGUGAAGUUUCAGGGGGUGUGGAAUUUGUUGCCCUCUCUAAGGAGAGGUGAAUCGGGGCCUGACUAGCAAUUUGGUUUUUAGUCUUUCCUAAGAUUUCAUAGUGUGUACAGUGUCCUCUUGACUAGCAGUCUGAAUAAUAUAUUAAAGUUUAGUGUUGUGAUUAUUAACAGUGUGUUCUUAAUUAUUUUGUUCCUCAUAUACCAACAGUCAGUCUGUGUCGAAUAGUGCCUUUUCGUUUACUUGUAACCAAAAAGUCAAAACUUAUAAACAAGAAGACUUUUCGUUUACUAGUAAACGAAAAAUAGCGCAGUUCACCACUCCCUGAACGUAACAUCACUAACAACAACUGUAGUUCGGCGACACGUGCGACGGGGUGUUAUAACUCGUGUGAUUGGCAGGCAAUUUCACACUUAUUAACACCCUCUCGCACUUGUAUCGAAAUACACUAAACACCCUGCGACCAACGAUGGUGGCGGAAUUGGUUAAACGCUCGGUCGCACCUACGGACCCGUGAGACGCGGGUUCGAGUCCGACUUGAGACAUUGGAAUUUUUAAUCUUUCGGAAGCCGCCGUCGAACAGACGUCUCGACACCGCGAAUCAUCAAGUUUAGUUAACGGGUGCGUGAAAGCCAAGGUUUUCCAUGCUUCUCCUUGCCCACCAGGACAGUCUGAACGUACCGUACAGCUCCUGGGAUGAAUUCGCCACCAAUGGAGAGGACGGUCAUCCCACGAUACCGGAACCCCAACAUAAAAUCCGACUAGCAUCCACCCUUAAUAAAUAAACACUUAAUAAAUACAACAAAAAUAACUCGGAAAACAACUAAAGCCACAAAAACAACGAAAAAUCAUCUGCAGAAUGAGACAUUUCAUUAAAUUUCAUUGAAGCGUUCCUCCUUCCUCAUCGGCUCCCAAUGCUCACAGCUUUUCCAAUGACAUUCAUAUCAAUCCCCAGACUUUCAGAAUUGUAUCAUUCAUCGAAUCCCUGAAAUAUGAACACAUAAAUACAGAUAACCACCGAGUGAUCUUCCACAGAUGCACCAUCUUUUGUACCAACAACCAUCCGAAGAUAUAAACGUACCUCCCUCACCCCCUGAAUGGGCUGGUGCUGGUACGUGGCGGUGCCGAGGGUUAAAGAGUGAGUGAAGAUACGGGUGCGGGAGAGGGCGGGUGGGGGGGGGGGGGGCGGAAGAGAGAGGGGUGAGAGCUUUCUCUAGACCGAUGAACGCGUUACGAGGCUGAUGCUACGGACUGCAUUCAGAGCAUCAAGUCCCCGAUGAAAAGGCGUUCUGCUUUCUGAAUAUAUUCCAAUUAAAAAGCCGGAGCUUCGUUACACUCAGUCCUUUACUAUCACAUGUACAUAUACAGUAUACGAAGUUUUUUUAUUUUCCCUUCGUCCUUUCACCCCCCCCCCCCCUGCGGCCCCAACGGGCACGCAACACUGUGGAACUCAUCAUCGGACGUGCGCGCGCCACAUCCCCAUUCCCAUCGUAAGUUCGUUUCUUUUCCAUUUUCCGUAGAAUUUAUUAUCUCCUGUUGGCAGACUACUUUUUCCAAUUUUUUAUGAUUUGUAAAAAAAGAAAUUAUAAUGGUUUUUUAGUUGGAAAAUGGAAAUAGUUUUGAGAGGAAGGAGAUAUUUGAUUUUUGGUCAUGUGGGAAAAAAUCAUGGGAAAAUAUAUGAGAUUAAAAAUGAUUUUGAAAACGUAUAUUACGAGGUUUGAUUUUGUAAAUUACGUUUUUUGGCACGUGAAAUGCGUUUCUGUUUUCGUGACUUAUGAGAUAUCGAUCACGUAAAAUCGUUGAUUGAUAAGAUUGUAAAUGCAAUAGAAAUUUUUUUGUGACGACAUAAAAACUGUGUUUCAGGUGAGUCAGAAUCAUCUGGCCCAACUUCCAGAGACAUUUUUUUUUUAUUUUCAAGGUAAUUUUGAAAAUGUUGUGUCAGAAAGGUCAGUAGAACGAUUGUAAAACAAAUAAAAAACCUGGAAAUGUCAGGUUAUUCUGAAACUCUGCAGUUGCCGAACUCUAUCAGAAAAUUCAAAAACCAUAAAAUAAAAACAUAAAAAAAAGAAAUUGAAAAAAAAACACAAAACUGGGAAACAUAAAAACUUGCAACAAUAACCGAAACUAUUAUAUUCAGUGAAAAUUACGUGGAAGUUCUGCAAAUCACAAGGAAAAAUAAAGAACCCUAAACCCUCGGGAAAUCUCCAGAAAUUUCCCCAUGAAAUCAAAACACAACAUUCAUGCUUCCUUCAGCCCCUCCACUUUUCUUUGCACCCUCCGGUACAUAAAACUGAGGACAUGCAAAAUUUAGUCAGUUAAAAAUAGAUAGAAGUCAGUAGAACAUUUUCUUUCGCAAAUCACCAAGUGUCACUGUAUUUAUAAGUUUCAAUACGAUUUUUAAUAAUAAAUAUCAGUUUUUUGCGAUAUAAAAUUGUGUAUAAAUUUGUUAUUCGGAAUCCAACAGAGGGGGAGUGGCGGAAAAACAAUGAUGGGACGACUAACCUCAAAGAGGAUUGAUUAGUCAACCAUCUUUGGCUGAGUUGGUCUGGUAAAGAUGGGAGAAUGUGCUGAAUGAAACGAAACGUAUUUACUCCUUUGGAAAUUAAAGAUAUUUUAUUCCUUUCUAUAUUAAUAAUAAAAAAAUGAAUUUAUCGAAAUAAAUGAAGAAUUGAUUAUUUGAAAAUAUUAACAGAAUUACUGAACUUUGGUUUAAUUUUUAUUGAACUAUUUAUCCCUAUGUAAUCGAGGAAUAAAGUGCUGCUGAUAAAUACUAGAAUUCCCACAGAUGCCUGAGUCACAAUGUCUCAUCAGUUAAAUCGUUGAGGCAGUAGAAGAAGUAGAGCGCGUGCCCAAGUGUCUCCAAAGUAUAAUCCUAACGCGUGCGACUUGCAUUCAAUGUCUUUACGUUUUUAUUUUUUCAAUUCUCUAUUUUGUUUCCCCGACAAUACAACGCACGUGGCAAGUCAAGUAUAUAAUAUGCGAAACCACUUCCACAAUUGAGCUGGCACCGUGGGGUGCCAUCCAACCCCUCUACAAUUCUAAUGAUCAUCUUCGCGGCUGUUUUUUUUAUGAGAUUAUUCAUGUUUUUGGGCAUAAAAGAGACGGCGUGGUAAACCGAAGGCGAUCGUCAUCUUUGGCUUAACAUACCUCAUGCAGCAAACUUUACACUCCUCAUGAACCGCCGGUUAUCGCCCACAUGACAUGAUGUACUAUUAUCACCGAGACUUGAACCUGCGCUUCUGGGACGUUUUGGUCAUAGGGGCAGUCGUCAAGUUUUCAGAUUCAGUUGAAUAUGGCAGUCACAUAAUACAACCGUAUUGACUUGGUUAAAGUGGACAGCCGUGUACAUAAGUAACAUUACGGAAGAGUGCGGCGGCAGUUGACAGAAAUGCCGCGGUGGAUGCGCUCGAGGGUGGAGGUGGUGGUGGUGG